UCCAGACUCCUACGGGAGGCAGCAGUGGGGAAUAUUGCACAAUGGGGGAAACCCUGAUGCAGCGACGCCGCGUGAGUGAAGAAGUAUUUCGGUAUGUAAAGCUCUAUCAGCAGGGAAGAAAAUGACGGUACCUGACUAAGAAGCCCCGGCUAACUACGUGCCAGCAGCCGCGGUAAUACGUAGGGGGCAAGCGUUAUCCGGAUUUACUGGGUGUAAAGGGAGCGUAGACGGCAGCGCAAGUCUGGAGUGAAAUGCCGGGGCCCAACCCCGGAACUGCUCUGGAAACUGUGAAGCUGGAGUGCAGGAGAGGUAAGCGGAAUUCCUGGUGUAGCGGUGAAAUGCGUAGAUAUCAGGAGGAACACCGGCGGCGAAGGCGGCUUACUGGACUGUAACUGACGUUGAGGCUCGAAGGCGUGGGGAGCAAACAGGAUUAGAUACCCUUGUACGA
rnacentral:rRNA from 1 species